ACCAACCCAAACAAACAAAAACUAGAAAGAAAUGAUUUUAAAAUCCUUGUUCUCCUGGAGCUUCCAUUCUAGGAAAGAAAAGACAGUCAGAACCCAAAAUAUAUUCUGUACUAUAUCAGGUAGUGAUAGGCCCAGUGGAGAAAAUAAACCAGGAAGGAAGCUUAGAGCAAGGAUGGCUGACAGCGUUGACCCGGAGGGCUUCUCACACAAUCAUUGAUCAGGACUGACCGCAUAGCUGAGCAGGUCAAGAUGCUUUCUGCUUACCUGCCAAACGAAAUUGGAUCCCUGGGGUCCAUAUGUUGUCUUGUGACCCCCAUACAUUGACAUUGGUUUAUACACAUGCAUGUGAAUAAAUUAAUACAUUUGAUUGUAAAACAUUUUUUUCUUUAAAGAGCAUUGGUCUGCUCCAAGAGCUACAGGUGGCUGACUGGCAUCUCCAUGAAGGAUGACAAGGCCAGGGCCACAGGAGCUGCACAGGCUAGGAAGACUGAGAAGAGAUGGAGACACUGGAAUCUGAGCUCAGAUUCUGCCUGAGGCUAGGCACUAUGAAAGUACAAGCCCUCCCUGUCCUCCAGUUGCCAACACUGUGCAUCCAAAUGUCCUGCUCCUCCAAGUCUUCAUACUGCUCUGUGUUCAUGACAGCUGUCAGGUGCCUCCAGGACUUCAAACUUCCUGCUUGGAAAGAGCCAGAAGACAUCUGUCUCCUCCACUCUCCAACUUCCAUCGACUGAGUUUUCUCCCUCAGGCCUUGGCCAUGGCAGAGCGGAGGAGAGCUGGAAUCCAGCCCAGCUUUUUACCAAUAAUUCAUCACGUGACCUUACACUUCCUCUUGGAGCCUCCUUGCCUUCAUUUGUAAAUCGAGGGGGUUCAGACUAGACUGUUUUUCAGGCCUAAUCCUGACCUCUAAACGACUGUAUUCAUUGAUCUUUUCUGCUGGUUCAUUCAUACACAGCAUUUCCACUUCCUGACAUAGUAUAUUUUUUAAAAAUGUUUGUUUACUGUCUGUCUUACUCCACUUCGGUUCCUUGCUCCCUGAGGGCAGGAGAUUUUGCUUGUUUUAGUCACUGCCAGAUUCCUGCCAUCUGCAAAAAGAAAAAGAAAAAAAAAAAGAGGUGUGAGUUUGUGUCUGUGUUCUGGAAGGAAGCUGAGGUUGAACAUUUAGAAUCCAGAA